GACGAACGCUGGCGGCGUGCUUAACACAUGCAAGUCGAACGGAAAGGCCCUGCUUUUGUGGGGUGCUCGAGUGGCGAACGGGUGAGUAACACGUGAGUAACCUGCCCUUGACUUUGGGAUAACUUCAGGAAACUGGGGCUAAUACCGGAUAGGAGCUCCUGCUGCAUGGUGGGGGUUGGAAAGUUUCGGCGGUUGGGGAUGGACUCGCGGCUUAUCAGCUUGUUGGUGGGGUAGUGGCUUACCAAGGCUUUGACGGGUAGCCGGCCUGAGAGGGUGACCGGCCACAUUGGGACUGAGCUACGGCCCAGACUCCUACGGGAGGCAGCGGUGGGGAAUAUUGCACAAUGGGCGGAAGCCUGAUGCAGCAACGCCGCGUGCGGGAUGACGGCCUUCGGGUUGUGAACCGCUUUCGCCUGUGACGAAGCGUGAGUGACGGUAAUGGGUAAAGAAGCACCGGCUAACUACGUG
rnacentral:rRNA from 1 species